rnacentral:rRNA from 1 species
GGGGGGCAACUCCCUGAGUACAGCGGCGCACGGGGAGUAACACGUGGGUAAUCUGCCCUGGAGUGGGGAAUAACACCGGGAAACCGGUGCUAAUACCGCAUACGAUCACGAUGUCUGCGGAUGACGUGAUGAAAGGAGCAAUUCGCUCCAGGAGGAGCCCGCGGCUGAUUAGCUAGUUGGUGAGGUAAUGGCUCACCAAGGCUACGAUCAGUAUCCGGUCUGAGAGGACGGUCGGACACACUGGAACUGAGACACGGUCCAGACUCCUACGGGAGGCAGCAGUGGGGAAUUUUUCGCAAUGGGGGCAACCCUGACGAAGCAACGCCGCGUGGAUGAUGAAGUCUCUUGGGACGUAAAAUCCUUUCGACAGGGAAGGAACCGCAAGGGUGACGGUACCUGUAGAAGAAGCCCCGGCUAACUCCGUGCCAGCAGCCGCGGUAAUACGGGGGGGGCAAGCGUUGUUCGGAAUUACUGGGCGUAAAGGGCGCGUAGGCGGUUCAUUAAGUUGGAUGUGAAAACUCUGGGCUUAACUCAGAGCCUGCAUUCAAAACUGAUGGGCUGGAGUUCUGGAGGGGAUAGCGGAAUUCCUGGUGUAGCGGUGAAAUGCGUAGAUAUCAGGAGGAACACCGGUGGCGAAGGCGGCUAUCUGGACAGAAACUGACGCUGAGGCGCGAAAGCUAGGGGAGCAAACAGGAUUAGAUACCCUGGUAGUCCUAGCCCUAAACGAUGGAUACUUGGUGUGACUGGGAUUGAAUCCAGUCGUGCCGAAGCUAACGCAUUAAGUAUCCCGCCUGGGGAGUAC